rnacentral:rRNA from 1 species
GCCUACAGCCAAACUACCCUGAACAUAUCUCUCCUUAUCUGAUCUUGGAAGCUAAGCAUGGACAGAUCUACAGGGCUAGUAUUUGGGAGGGAGUAGUCU